rnacentral:rRNA from 1 species
AAAUUGAAGAGUUUGAUCAUGGCUCAGAUUGAACGCUGGCGGCAGGCCUAACACAUGCAAGUCGAACGGUAACAGGAAGCAGCUUGCUGCUUUGCUGACGAGUGGCGGACGGGUGAGUAAUGUCUGGGAAACUGCCUGAUGGAGGGGGAUAACUACUGGAAACGGUGGCUAAUACCGCAUAACGUCGCAAGACCAAAGAGGGGGACCUUCGGGCCUCUUGCCAUCAGAUGUGCCCAGAUGGGAUUAGCUUGUUGGUGAGGUAACGGCUCACCAAGGCGACGAUCCCUAGCUGGUCUGAGAGGAUGACCAGCCACACUGGAACUGAGACACGGUCCAGACUCCUACGGGAGGCAGCAGUGGGGAAUAUUGCACAAUGGGCGCAAGCCUGAUGCAGCCAUGCCGCGUGUAUGAAGAAGGCCUUCGGGUUGUAAAGUACUUUCAGCGGGGAGGAAGGUGUUGCGGUUAAUAACCGCAGCAAUUGACGUUACCCGCAGAAGAAGCACCGGCUAACUCCGUGCCAGCAGCCGCGGUAAUACGGAGGGUGCAAGCGUUAAUCGGAAUUACUGGGCGUAAAGCGCACGCAGGCGGUCUGUCAAGUCGGAUGUGAAAUCCCCGGGCUCAACCUGGGAACUGCAUUCGAAACUGGCAGGCUUGAGUCUUGUAGAGGGGGGUAGAAUUCCAGGUGUAGCGGUGAAAUGCGUAGAGAUCUGGAGGAAUACCGGUGGCGAAGGCGGCCCCCUGGACAAAGACUGACGCUCAGGUGCGAAAGCGUGGGGAGCAAACAGGAUUAGAUACCCUGGUAGUCCACGCCGUAAACGAUGUCUACUUGGAGGUUGUGCCCUUGAGGCGUGGCUUCCGGAGCUAACGCGUUAAGUAGACCGCCUGGGGAGUACGGCCGCAAGGUUAAAACUCAAAUGAAUUGACGGGGGCCCGCACAAGCGGUGGAGCAUGUGGUUUAAUUCGAUGCAACGCGAAGAACCUUACCUGGUCUUGACAUCCACAGAACUUUCCAGAGAUGGAUUGGUGCCUUCGGGAACUGUGAGACAGGUGCUGCAUGGCUGUCGUCAGCUCGUGUUG